AAAAAGAACAAAAUAAGAGUUUUAAUACCCAGUUAAAGGAAAAAUCCCUAAAACUAACAGAGUAAAAAAAAACCAAAAUUUCCUUCAAUACUCCCGCAAAACUGAAGUGGAACAAACCUCCCGACGCAGAUCUGCACCGCCGCUCCAUUGCAACGCCUUCCGACCGCUUCCUAGCCUCCGUUGAACGCCGUUUGUACCAUCGUUGCCUUCAAUUCGAUAUCGGUUGUGACGUUUAUCAGAUGAUCUGCAGUUGGGGUUUUUGUCCUGCAAAUGUGUUGGUGUUGUGAUGUUGUCUGCCUUAUAUGCUGCAGUCUAGGUAAAUUAGAAGGAGGGGGCGUGCACCAUAUUAGCCGUAGCUGAGUUCUUACCAUUACGGUUUCCAUGAGGAUGGUUUGAAGAUCUUUCUUUCAAACAUAUAUUCAUAUCCUUCCGUGUCAAUGGAAGAUAAAAAGAGCAGACCAAACAGAAGGGCAUUGCUUCCCAUUGAGCCUUUUCUGAUGGCCCUGGCUAGGAAUUUCAACCCUAGAGAAUAAAAUUUGUCGCAACAAAUCUGCCGUGAAGCUUUGUUUUGCUUCUAAAUCCUUGAGUUUCCAAAACCUUUCUGGCCUGCAGACAUGAGCACAUCCCCAACAGAAUCCCUCGCAACCAUCCCAUAUCCCGUAGCAUUUGUAGCUGCUGCAGCUUCAGUAUUGAGUUUAAAUAAACCAGUAGCUGGGUCUGUCCAUGUAUGAGCUUCACUGUGGGAAGGAGCACAUUCGUCUCGCUCUUUUGCGGCUUCAAAAUCGCCCAGGAGGUUCAUCAGCCUAUUACAAGCCAACACCAAAUCAACGCUCUUCCUCUCAAACACCCACAAACACCAAAAUGUUGGCUUAAUUAAGAGUUCAUGGAACUGUGAGGUCCUAAUUAAACCUUGACAUCAAAAAAUUUAGCUUAAAUUUAGGUGACCAUUAUAUCUUUGGAAAAAUUGAUGGAAAUAAGUCAACCUUUGUCCCAUUUAUUAAUAAUAAGUCUAACUUUUAAUUAUAUCUGGUUAAGUUAACCUUUUAUAUCCAUUUAUUUUUAACAAGUUGAUUAACCGGUAACCGGCUAAAUUAAUUGUGAACCGGUAAACUUUCACUUUCCACUCCCAAAAUGUGUCUGCGUGGCAUUAACUUGUGACAAAUACCCACCCACUUUACAAUUUGCUCACUUAUACAACAACAAAUAGAAAAAAUAAAAUAAAAUAAGAGCAUUCAGUAUUGUUUGUCGAUCGUCGUUUUCUGCCAUAGCCAAUAAGCUUCACCCACCUUGGCAUCUUCUUCUUCAUUGAUGUAAUCAUCGAGAAAAAGUGAUAGAGAUGCAACAAUAAAAUAUCAAGAGAAAUUAAUUCAUAAUCCAAGCAAAAUUCGCAGGUGUAAAUUGCUAACCCUAACUAUUUUGAAUUAUGGGUUAAUUUUGUUACUUAAAAGGGAAAUUUGCUUAAUCAUAGGAAUUAAAUUCUUAUUCUUGGGUAAAUUUCGGUGUUGGUGGGGGGAUUAUUAACAAAAUUUCAUACUCCAUUGAUUUGGGUUAAUUGAAUUGAAUUGGGGCUCAAUUGAUUGGCAUGGCCGUAGCUAGAGUACCCAACCAAAUGGCUACUACAUACCCAAACCAUUCUCACACCCAUGGUAGCUGUUGUGGGCAUUGUGGCAAUCGUUAAAAUGGUAUAAAAUUUUAAUAAAUGCAAUUGUUAAGCUUUUUUAAGUGCAAUAAUUUCACAAAAUUACCAAAAACAGGGGAUUUUUCUCUUCCAUUCUUUAAUAAUUCUUUUUUUAGUUAAACUUACCUCGUUGUAUUACUGAAUUGCACGUUAUCGUGAAAUCUGGUGUGUUUGAUGAUGUUACUCUGAAGUUUUGGCAUGAUGGGAGAUUUUUAUACUCCAUAUUGGAAAAAAAACUGGAAAUACAAGAAAAAGCGGAAAAUUUAGUGGAGGGAUGAAGUUUAAUGGAGGGAUUAUGAAGAAAGGGGAAGUAGAAGAGGGGCGCUGAAGAUGAAGAAAUUAAAAGAAGAGGAAGGGAAAAAAAAGAUAGAAUUAAAUAAACAAAAAAAAUUUAAAAGAACCCAAAAAGUUUAAAAUCACGCAACAGAUAAUUUUUUCACUGCCAUGUCAUACAUGGUACCUACUACAAUCGGUAAUUUUUUAAUGCAACUUGUUAAAAAUAAAUGGGUAUAAAAAUUUAACUUAAUCAGAUAUAAUUAAAAGUUAGACUUAUUAUUAAUAAAUAGGGCAAAGGUUGACUUAUUCCCAUCAAUUUUUCCUUAUAUCUUUUAGAGCAUGGUUAUGCAUUACUAGUAGCUUUGCUUUUCUAAAUACUUAGCGCCUUAAGCUAGAGCCUUUUCAUUAGAUGGAAAGGCUUCUGGUCCUUUCUGUAUUUAUAUGUUUUGUUAUGUGUUCUGACUAUUCUUUAACCAGUUGUAUACUAACUCUUCUUGGAAUUCAAUGAAAAUGAAUCAGUACAAUAAAUUUGUAUCUUUUUUUCUUCUCAAUGUAGUUUGGCUCAUUUUGUAAUAUUCAUUUCUCAUAUAUUCCUAUAAUAUGCCUCUAUAUUCUGUCCCAUUGUCUUCAGGUGUGAAACAUCGCCUGUAUUUUCUGUACAGUAACUGGCAUAUUAGAGAAAUGUGUAUCUCAUGGAGUCAUAAGUGUAGUAGGAAAGUUAAACGUCUUGAAUUUAAUUUGAAUUCGUCCCAUACUGAGCCUAUUGCCUUUGUAGCAGAUAGAGGAAGGUUUAAUGACAAGUUCAAUGAGAGCUCCCACCGUCCCACGCAUUCUCAAACUACGAUUGACGAGCUAAGGGAGAGGUGGAUCUCAUACGUUACCGAAUAUCACCAACCAAAUAACGAUGAAGAUCAAGAUGAUGAUGACGAUGAUCUAGUGUGACUUAAGCUAGCUCAAGGAGAUGGUUACCUCAGUUUCAGUCCUGCAUUUCUGCUGUUGCUGCAGAAUCUGUUCUUGCUGCAAACGCUGCUGUUGUUGCAGAAUCUGUUCCAGCUGUCUUUUUUUCUUUUUUUUUAAACAGUGAUAUUGGAUUUUAUUAUUUGCCGUACCUUGUGUAGAUCAUUUAUAUUUUAUCAAUGAAUAAUAUGAUUUUGUUAUUGAAUGAAUAAUAUUAUUUUGUUAUUGAAUGAAAUUAUUUUUGGAAA